rnacentral:rRNA from 1 species
AAUAGAUACCCGGGUAGUCCACGCCGUAAACGAUGUCGACUUGGAGGUUGUUCCCUUGAGGAGUGGCUUCCGGAGCUAACGCGUUAAGUCGACCGCCUGGGGAGUACGGCCGCAAGGUUAAAACUCAAAUGAAUUGACGGGGGCCCGCACAAGCGGUGGAGCAUGUGGUUUAAUUCGAUGCAACGCGAAGAACCUUACCUACUCUUGACAUCCAGAGAACUUAGCAGAGAUGCUUUGGUGCCUUCAGGAACUCUGAGACAGGUGCUGCAUGGCUGUCGUCAGCUCGUGUUGUGAAAUGUUGGGUUAAGUCCCGCAACGAGCGCAACCCUUAUCCUUUGUUGCCAGCGGUUCGGCCGGGAACUCAAAGGAGACUGCCAGUGAUAAACUGGAGGAAGGUAGGAUGACGUCAAGUCAUCAUGGCCCUUACGAGUAGGGCUACACACGUGCUACAAUGGCGUAUACAAAGAGAAGCGACCUCGCGAGAGCAAGCGGACCUCAUAAAGUACGUCGUAGUCCGGAUUGGAGUCUGC